rnacentral:rRNA from 1 species
UAAGACAGAGGGGGCAAGCGUUGCUCGGAAUCACUGGGCGUAAAGGGCGUGUAGGCGGGAUGGCAAGUCGGUCGUGAAAGCCUUCGGCUCAACCGAAGAAGUGCGUCCGAUACUGCUGUCCUUGAGGGUUGGAGAGGAGACUGGAAUUCCCGGUGUAGCGGUGAAAUGUGUAGAGAUCGGGAGGAACACCGGUGGCGAAGGCGGGUCUCUGGCCAAUUCCUGACGCUGAGGCGCGAAAGCGUGGGGAGCAAACGGGA